UUUUUUUUUAAUAUAAAAAGAUCAAUGAAAAAUUUAUUUAUAAAUUUUUCAUGCUGGGCUACAAGUCUAUAUCGUACACUCAGGAAUGUGCUGCAGACUUCAUCCAGUUAGAAGUGAUCACACCGAGACCCAUACACAGCUUCCACGUAAGCCUAGAAAGUCUUAACAUUAAUUAACAUAAUUAAGGUAUUUGCAUCUAGAAAAAAUAUACAGAAAAACUCCUUUUGGAGUAAUCUGUGCCUCAGUUUCAAUGUCUGCUUUUCACUGACAUUAUCAAUAUAUUCUUCUCACACAAGGUUUUAUAAAAAGCCACAGAUGACUGCCCAAAUCUGACCAGCCACACACAAAGGGCCUCCACCCACCUGUGUCCUCAAGUGCUCCCCAUUUUUGCACGAAGGGUCAGCAGCACUUCUACCCUGGGGAAGCCUCAUUUAAAUUUGAAUAAUUCAGCCUCCCUUUUAUUUCUCAGGAUCAAAACAACACGGGGUGUGGGGUUGCAUAGAAAAUUGGAACCUCGGAGACCAGGAAGGGCGCCUUUCGGGACUAAGAGUGACGCAGAGGGACGGCCUCCGGCCUGGGUCCUCGCGCGGCCCCUCCCGCCUGGCAGGGCUUUCGGAUUCGAAUCGGGUCCUGGAAGCUCUGGGAGGCUGAAGAGGGGUAAAGCGGCCCUUCAGCUCACUCGGCAAGUAGCACAAGAGAUUCACAGUCUUAUAGGCAUUUUAUAAAAAUAUAAAUAUGGGUACAGUUGCCUUCACAACGCUGGAUACAACGCCCUUUAAAAUUGGGUCUAUAACCAAGAUUCAAAAAAUACACCUAAAACUUGGCUUAAAAUAUGUUAAUAUUUUAUAUUGUCAUAAAUGUUAUGACAUUUAAUUGUGGCAAAUCCAUUUACUUUUUUUAAAAAAGUGUGCAAUCGACUGUUAACUAUAAUAGAACUAACUAGGAAGGCUUGAUCCCCACCUCCGUCACCGCCACACCCGAGCACCCAGGCUCCCACGGAAGCUCUGAAAACCGGCAGGCUUGGCGGAUGGCGGCCUCUCACCGGAGAAGGCGGAGCGGGGCCCGGGGCUUCCAAAACUCACGCGGAAUCGUGUGUGAGAGAGGGGAAGGCGGGGCGGGCGGAGGAGGGGAGCUGAGGGGGAGAAGCCGGAGAGGACGGAGCAGCGCCGGGGAACCAUCAGGCUGGGCGGUAUUUUCAGUGCAACCAAGAAAUGACAAGACUCAAGUUUUUAGUUUUAAGACUAAAAAAAAAAAGUACAUCACCCCGCCCACCCCCCCCCCCCCCUAACCACAUUGACCACGCACAAUAUUUUCCAAACACAAAAUUCAGGCGCACAAACAUCACCCACAAAUAUGCACACACGUGAUAAAUAGUUUAGAGCCCCGGGAACAGCAGAGCGUCUCCUCCGUCGCGCGUCGGCCACGGGUCCUUCCACCUUCAGGAGAAAACUUUUCGAGCAGGAGGAUCCGGUGUCUCGGGAUUCCGAACUUGCUGGUGGCGAGACUCAAAUUUCAAAGGGGCUGGGGCCCGCGCUCCUCCCCCACCCGCGCGGCGGCGGGCGGGGCCGUGGGAAGGGCCCCGGCCGGUCC
ensembl:lncRNA